rnacentral:rRNA from 1 species
GAUUUCUGGUAUUGCGCACCCGAUCGACCGUGGUAACAUGGCCUGUAUUGGUGCUGCGCAUGCCAUCUUGCUAGUUAACUAGACGCACUUAACUGGGCGGCUAGUGCUCUAGCUCGUUUACUUUGAAAAAAUUAGAGUGUUUAAAGCAGGCUUGCGCCUUGAAUACAUUAGCAUGGAAUAAUAAUUUAGGACUUCUUCCUAUUUUAUUGGUUUCUAGGGAUGAAGUAAUGAUUGAUAGGGAUAGUUGGGGGUGCUAGUAUUCAUCGGCCAGAGGUGAAAUUCUUGGAUUCGAUGAAGACUAACUAAUGCGAAAGCAUU